rnacentral:rRNA from 1 species
UGCCGGUGGGUACUGCUAUCAGACUUCGACUAAGCCAUGCAAGUCGGCUCACUCACUUGGGUGGGCGGCGUACGGCUGAGUAACACGUGGUCAAUCUGCCCUGGAGACGUGGAUAACCUUGGGAAACUGAGGCUAACCCACGAUAGAUGCCCUAUGCUGGAAGGCCUGGGCGUCCAAAUGGCUGGUGAAUUGGAGCCAGUCCGCUCUAGGAUGAGACUGCGCCGGAUUAUGGUAGUUGGUGGGGUAAUGGCUCACCAAGCCGAUAAUCUGUAGGGGCCAUGGGAGUGGUGGCCCCCAGAAGGGUACUGAGACAAGGACCCUAGUCCUACGGGAUGCAGCAGGCGCGAAACCUCUGCAAUGCGCGAAAGCGUGACAGGGGAAGUCUGAGUGGCGGAAACUUAGUUUCCGUCUUUUGCCAAGUGUAAACAGCUUGGAGAAUAAGGAGAGGGCAAGUCUGGUGUCAGCCGCCGCGGUAAUACCAGCUCUCCGAGUGGUGUGGAUGUUUAUUGGGCCUAAAGCAUCCGUAGCUGGCUGGGUUAGUCCCCUGUUAAAUCCACCGAAUUAAUCGUUGGAUUGCGGGGGAUACUGCUUGGCUAGGGGACGAGAGAGGUAGACGGUAUUUCCGGGGUAGGGGUGAAAUCCUAUAAUCCCGGGAGGACCACCAGUGGCGAAGGCUGUCUGCUAGAACGCGCCCGACGGUGAGGGAUGAAAGCUGGGGGAGCGAACCGGAUUAGAUACCCGGGUAGUCCCAGCUGUAAACGAUGCAGACUAGGUGUUUGGACGGCCACGUGCCGUUCUAGUGCCGCAGGGAAACUGUUAAGUCUGCCGCCUGGGGAGUACGAUCGCAAGAUUGAAACUUAAAGGAAUUGGCAGGGGAGCACCACAAGGGGUGAAGCUU